UGCNGUCGUACGAGAAAGCCCUUCGGGGUGAGUAGAGUGGCGCACGGGUGAGUAAUGGAUAGGAACGUACCUUUAGGCGGGGGAUAACCAGCGGAAACACUGGCUAAUACCGCAUAGUCUCGCAAGAGUAAAGAUGGCCUCUACUUGUAAGCUAUCACCUAAAGAUCGGCCUAUCUCCCAUUAGCUUGUUGGCAGGGUAACGGCCUACCAAGGCGACGAUGGGUAGCUGGUCUGAGAGGAUGAUCAGCCACACUGGAACUGAGACACGGUCCAGACUCCUACGGGAGGCAGCAGUGGGGAAUAUUGCACAAUGGGCGCAAGCCUGAUGCAGCAACGCCGCGUGAGUGAAGAAGGCUCUUGGGUCGUAAAGCUCUUUCGACUAGGAAGAAGGGUUUUAGGGUUAAUACCCCUAGGAUUUGACGGUACUAGAUGAAGAAGCACUGGCUAAUUCCGUGCCAGCAGCCGCGGUAAUACGGAAGGUGCAAGCGUUGUUCGGAUUGACUGGGCGUAAAGCGCACGUAGGCGGAUCUUCAAGUCAACUGUGAAAGCCCCGGGCUCAACCUGGGAACUGCAGUCGAAACUGUCGAUCUUGAAUGCUUGAGAGGUUAGCGGANUUCCAGGUGUAGGAGUGAAAUCCGUAGAUAUCUGGAGGAACAUCAGCGGCGAANGCGGCUAACUGGCGAUGCAUUGACGCUAANGUGCGAAAGCGUGGGGAGCAAACAGNAUUAGAUACCCUGGUAGUCCACGCUGUAAACGAUGGAUACUANNUGUUUGGGGAGUUAACCCCCUGANUACUAAAGCUAACGCAUUAAGUAUCCCACCUGGGGAGUACGGUCGCNNGGCUGANNUCAAAGGNAUNGANNGGGGNCCGCANNAGCNGUGGNANCAUG
rnacentral:rRNA from 1 species